GCAGAAACAAGAAAAUCAUGUUCAUUGUUUUUACUUUCUACAGCUUAGUUUUUUGAAGGAGAAUAGGGCAUUAUCACUGAAAAAUCUGAAAACUUGAGACGAGAAAAUGGAGCAUGGAGGAAUUGAAGAGUGUUCGAUUGGUUAGUUCGAUGUCCAGAUGGGUCGAUAGAAGUGGAGCAGAUUCAGAGACUCCCUCAAUAUCCAUUUUUUAUGAGGAUGAGCUUAGGAAAGAGGCUUAUGAAGACGCCAAAGAGAGUUGAUUCCUUUGAUGUUGAAGUUCCUUUUCUUUUUUUCUGUUUUUCAGUAGAAGCCAUGUAUGUUUCUAACUUAACAUGGACACUAUUUGAAGGUACUUAGUUCUGAUCUUCA